AGGGUGUAAACGCUGCAGACUUGGUGUUGGGAACCCUUCGGGGUGCUCAGUGCCGGAGAGAAGUUGUUAAGUCUGCUACUUGGGGAGUACGUCCGCAAGGAUGAAACUUAAAGGAAUUGGCGGGGGAGCACCGCAACGGGAGGAGCGUGCGGUUUAAUUGGAUUCAACACCGUAAAACUCACCAGGGAAGACUGUUACAUGAAAGCCGAGAUGAAGACUCUGCUAGAUUUUCAGAGAGGUGGUGCAUGGCGUCAGUGACU
rnacentral:rRNA from 1 species